ensembl:misc_RNA Metazoa_SRP Metazoan signal recognition particle RNA
GCUGGGCAUGGUGGCUCAUGCCUGUAAUCCCAGCACCUUGGGAGGCUGAGGCAGGAGGAUUGCUUGAGUCCAGGAGUUCAAGACUGGCCUGGGCAACAAAGUGAGACCUUGUCUCUA